UACGUAGGGGGUAAGCGUUGUCCGGAUUUAUUGGGCGUAAAGAGCGUGUAGGCGGCCAUACAGGUCCGUUGUGAAAACUGGAGGCUUAACCUCCAGACGUCGAUGGAAACCGUAUGGCUAGAGUCCGGAAGAGGAGAGUGGAAUUCCUGGUGUAGCGGUGAAAUGCGCAGAUAUCGUAAGGAAGACCAGUGGCGAAGGCGGGUCUCUGGACAGUUCCUGACGCUGAGGCACGAAGGCCAGGGGAGCAAACGGG
rnacentral:rRNA from 1 species